CAUGGUCAAGCGCCCCUAGCGUCACUUUUAUGACGCCAAAUGUGCCUCUCGGCGUCGACUAUCGAAGCACUACGACCUUCAUUGCUUUCAGUGGGAAACUUUUGGCGUCAGAAUUCGACACAAGGACAUGAGAUGUUUAUCGCUAUGAAAUCACGUUCAAGAAGUCUCAUUCAGCACACAUCGCGCGAUACUUGCUAUCAGUUCCACAGUUUGGCUGAAAAGACGUAAAGGCAGUCAGCCCAGUGGUGUUUCUGGAGAGGGAUUCCUUCAGAAAUGGAGAAGACAGAAAGCUGCGGAGGCAGAUAUUUGCAGCAGAUUUUUUCCAGAUAAUGCUGUUCUUCUUUUUCAGGUCUAAAAUAUCGAGCUCAACAGCUAUUUUAAGAGCCAACCCUCACAAACCUUCCUAAAACCUAAAAGAGCUAUUACUGAGUCUCAGCGAAUCUUGCCAUGAUCAGCUCUUCCCAGAAGAGAAGGAAGACCAAGGAUAUGAUUUGCUCAGGAUGAGGAAUGAAGAUGGCCAUCUUGAGCUCAAACAAACAGAAGUCCUCUGAUGAUCUCAUCAGCCAAAUGAGGGGUUUUGACCAAGUGAUGCUCUUGAAAGGAGUGAAAGAAGAGGAUGUGGUAAAUUGUCUUCAGAGAAAAGCUUCUCAAAAGAUCUUAAAACAGCUUGAAGAAUGGUCUGGGAUCUUAGGACUGAGAGAUCAUCUGGCUGAGAACAAGCUACACCUCAUCAGUGCUGGACAUCAACCACAAACUGUUUCCAGACACGAGAGAAGAAGAUCACGAUGGGGAGAUGAAACCAGUUUAGAUGUGAUGAUGGGAAUCAUUAUUUUCUGGAACAGUAUCACAUGUCUUAUAUGUAUCACAUGAUCUGUAUCACAGUUGACUGGAUGGGACUGUGUGACUUUUAAGGACAUUUCAUCACUCAUCUGUGUGAACUGAUUUAUAUAUGAGGUUAAUGUAUCUUUGAUGAUAAUUAUUUUCAUUGAAUCUUAUUUGUCUUGAUGCUACUUUAUCAACUUUAUAGUCUAUGCUUCAAUAAAAUGAAAAUGGUGAA